AGCGGGGUGGAGCAGCCAGGAGUGCUCGUCGGGCUCAUAACCCGGAGGUCGCUCGUUCAAAUCGAGCCCCCGCUA
rnacentral:tRNA from 1 species